CCUACGGGAGGCAGCAGUAGGGAAUCUUCCACAAUGGACGAAAGGCUGAUGGAGCAACGCCGCGUGAGUGAAGAAGGGUUUCGGCUCGUAAAGCUCUGGUGGUAGUGAAGAAAGAUAGAGGUAGUAACUGGCAUUAAUUUGACGGUAAUUACUUAGAAAGUCACGGCUAACUACGUGCAAGCAGCCGCGGUAAUACGGAGGGGGCAAGCGUUUUCCUGAUUUAUUGGGCGUAAAGCGCGUGCAGGCGGUUCAAUAAGUCUGAUGUGAAAGCCUUCGGCUCAACCGGAGAAUUGCAUCAGAAGCUGUUUAACUUGAGUGCAGAAGAGGAGAGUUGAACUCCAUGUGUAGCGGUGGAAUGCGUAGAUAUAUGGAAGCACACCAGUGGCGAAGGCGGCUCUCUGGUCUGCAACUGACGCUGAGGCUCGAAAGCAUGGGUAGCGAACAGGAUUAGAUACCCUUGUAGUC
rnacentral:rRNA from 1 species